AUUAGCUAGUUGGUGAGGUAAUGGCUCACCAAGGCGACGAUCUCUAGCUGGUCUGAGAGGAUGAUCAGCCACACUGGAACUGAGACACGGUCCAGACUCCUACGGGAGGCAGCAGUGGGGAAUAUUGCACAAUGGGCGCAAGCCUGAUGCAGCCAUGCCGCGUGUGUGAAGAAGGCCUUCGGGUUGUAAAGCACUUUCAGUCGUGAGGAAGGUAGUUGUGUUAAUAGCGCAAUUAUUUGACGUUAGCGACAGAAGAAGCACCGGCUAACUCCGUGCCAGCAGCCGCGGUAAUACGGAGGGUGCGAGCGUUAAUCGGAAUUACUGGGCGUAAAGCGCAUGCAGGUGGUUUGUUAAGUCAGAUGUGAAAGCCCCAGGCUCAACCUGGGAAGGUCAUUUGAAACUGGCAAACUAGAGUACUGUAGAGGGGGGUAGAAUUUCAGGUGUAGCGGUGAAAUGCGUAGAGAUCUGAAGGAAUACCAGUGGCGAAGGCGGCCCCCUGGACAGAUACUGACACUCAGAUGCGAAAGCGUGGGGAGCAAACAGGAUUAGAUACCC
rnacentral:rRNA from 2 species